AGAGUUUGAUCAUGGCUCAGAACGAACGCUGGCGGCGUGGAUAAGACAUGCAAGUCGAACGCUGAUUACGGGGUAGCAAUAUUCCGUGGUCGGAGUGGCGCAAGGGUGCGUAACACGUGGGUAAUCUGCCAUAAAGUUUGGGAUAACUCGCUGAAAGGCGAGCUAAUACCGGAUGUGAGAAUCGGGAGGCAUCUUUUGAUUCUCAAAGCUGGGGACCGCAAGGCCUGGCGCUUUUUGAUGAACCCGCGGCCUAUCAGCUAGUUGGUGAGGUAACGGCCCACCAAGGCUAAGACGGGUAGCUGGUCUGAGAGGACGACCAGCCUCACUGGAACUGAGACACGGUCCAGACACCUACGGGUGGCAGCAGUCGAGAAUUUUUCACAAUGGGCGCAAGCCUGAUGGAGCGACGCCGCGUGGGGGAUGAAUGGCUUCGGCCCGUAAACCCCUGUCAUUUGCGAACAAACGUUAUUAUUUAAAAGAUGAUGACCUGAUUGUAGCGAAAGAGGAAGGGACGGCUAACUCUGUGCCAGCAGCCGCGGUAAUACAGAGGUCCCAAGCGUUGUUCGGAUUCACUGGGCGUAAAGGGUGCGUAGGUGGUGGGGAGAGUCUGAUGUGAAAGCUCCAAGCUCAACUUGGAAAUGGCAUUGGAAACUACUCUGCUCGAGGGUUGGAGGGGGGACUGGAAUACUUGGUGUAGCAGUGAAAUGCGUAGAUAUCAAGUGGAACACCAGUGGCGAAGGCGAGUCCCUGGACAACUCCUGACACUGAGGCACGAAAGCUAGGGGAGCAAACAGGAUUAGAUACCCUAGUAGUCC
rnacentral:rRNA from 1 species